GCCGCGGUAGCUGAGUGGUUAGCAUUGCGUACUGUCAUUCGGAAGGCCAGGGUUCAAAUCCUGGUGCGGCC
rnacentral:tRNA from 1 species